GGGCCUCAUUUUUACUAUGUUCAGAUAGCAAUGAUGACCAGACACUGUUUUCAUGACUGUCUCUGCAAGCUAUAAAUAUAGUUUUCCUUCUAUCAACAUCAAAGUACGUGAAGUAUCCUCCGGGUUUUGGACAUCUCCUUCAAACUUUCUAUGGACUCAUUUGUCAUCAGCUAUUACAGAUAUUAAAACAUCAUACAGUGUGCUGUAUUCCCACUAUUUUGCACUUCAUGAAGAAGCUUGUAGAAAUUGAUACUUCAAGUAGGACCAAGCCAGGCUGCUGACUGCCUGAGAUACGUGUCUGAACAGCUUUACUUCAGGGAAUAAAUACUGCCAUUGCAGACGUGACUCCUUGUGGACAAAAAAGCUUUUUCCAUGACCCAUGUAGCUCAUUUCCCAUAAUACACGUGCUUUAUUACGCAGCUGUUCAUUCAUUAUGCCUCCAACUAGGUGUGACAUUUUUCUUAAUCGUAGACAGAUUAAAGUGGAACAUCGAUGUAUUGAAUACAAAUUGCUUUUAACCCCUUUGAAGAACGUGCAGGAACCACCCCUGUUUUCAUCCCAAUGUAACAGAUAACAAACACACACACAGAGGCAAUCUCAAUAUCUAGAUAUUUAAUUUAAAUACCGGAGUUAUUAAUUUACAUAACUAUCUUCCUUAAAAAUGUUUUUCCAUGCCAGUACUUUUUGUGUAUUGAUGAUAAAUUAAUAUCCCCUUAGGGCAUGUUAAAACUUGUAACUUCAUCUUUGCAGAUCCCUAAUCAGCUUCAGUUAUUAAAAAUGAUUGCUUGGAGUAUGACAUAGCACUUUUUAGGUUAUUAUUUUAGAUGUGUAGAGUUUGCACAGAAGCCUGUUCCGAUUCAGCAAUUGUCUAUCUGUAUUAGCUAAAAAGUAGGUCAAACAGACCUGCUAGCACAGGCUAACAGAGGCCAAAGCCUCAAAGGAAUUGCUGCUUGCCUUGUUUAUCAUAUGUUUCUUACUACAAAACAUCUUUAGCUUUUACAGACUAGUCUUUACAUUCUGCUUUUUCUGAACUACUUAGAGGUUAAAUAAAGAAUUAGUAUUUUCAGUAAAUAAAAAUUAUAGCAGCUGGUCUGUUAAGAGUGACUAAAAUUAGAUAGCCUUUUUUUUUCUAAACAUAGCUGGGUCAUACAGAGUUGUAAGAAUUAUACACAUACACUGUAUAGUGUAAGUUUUCAGUUUGUCAGCUUUAAAAUGUUUAUUAUCAUAAAGUAUAAAAUAUCCUCACACUUUCUUAUUCCUUCCAUUGGCCUCUUAAGAAUCUUUGCUGUUAGAAUAUCCAGGGAAAGGGUGGCAAAAGCUGCCUAUAAAAGCAGUUAAAAGGCCAAAGGGUAAUGGAAUUAAUGCCGGUGACCAUUUUGCUGUUUUGAGUUACACUGAGCAUACACAUGAUCAGUUCUAAACAUUAUCUUUCAAAAUGAAAAAAAAUCAUCAUGAUGGAGAACAGUUCAGAGUUAAUCGCAUCCUUCCCCUUAAACAUAUGUAUUUCCUAAUUUAGUUUUAUUGAAUACAUCCUUAACAGACCCAGGUUUAGUUGUCUUCUAAGCUCAUAAUGUUAGGCUUAAUGAGUCCACCUCCUCCAUAAAGCCUCAAUUACAAAGGUACUGCUGGGGGUCAGAAGCCUUUCACCAAAUGUACUCUACAGUCUUUUAGCAAGUUGUUGGACUGAGCCCCCAGGUAACAAAACCAUGAACUUUUAUAACUUACUUUGCUUUGUUCCUUUCAUAGUAUUUUUAAUUAGCAAGAA